UGUCGGAGGAAUGUAUUUCUGCACUGAGGAGUGACAAGGUUGGCAUCUCUAAAGCUGAAUACAUGGAUGGUGCUGUCCAAAAGUUACUACUGGAUAUUUUGUUUCAGAGGUUGAGAAAAGAGGGGGUACCACAGCCAGAAUUCAUAUCGACAUGGAGACAGAGAAUGGUACAAUGAAAGACAUUCAAAGAUUUUUGCGUCUUGAUGACAGCUAUCCUGAAAACUACUUCAUUGUGGGAUCCAGCACCCACAGCCAGCACAUCAACAGCCAGUACUGGAUGAACCUUUUUCAAAAACUGAAGAAUACAGAUUACUUUACUGGUGACUUCUUGGAUAAGCAGCCAAUUCUACUCACCUGUUUAAAUAUCACUGAGGAAGAACUCUUAAAGUGGUUCACUUAUGGAACAUAAUUCGUAAGAUUAGAGAUACUAUUGCUCCAAGUUGCCGGUCCUACAUGAUGUAUACCCUUCCACGGCUUUUUGGUGAACAAGACAAUCUCAUACAGGUUUCUGAGCAAGCGGCGGGAACUUGCACAGUCCAACGUCUUCAGAGGACCGUUCACACGUGAUGAGACAGUUCGAAGGAUCAUACCUUCUGAUGACAGAGAACUUUCUUCAUGCACCGUCCACACAUGAUGAAACAAUUGAGUUAUGCUUAUUUUUAAGAGCUAAUAUACGCACAAACCUGUGACACGUGUGAUAUUUUCUUGUAAAAAAAAGAGUUUGUGGAGCAAAUGACCUUGUGAGCCUGUUCAGAAUGAACCUGUCACUUUCCCACACAGUCAGAAAUAGGCAGCUGCAGACCCCACAACCCAUAAAGGACAGGCAGUCAAAGAAAUACAGAUGGAGGGGAAAAAAAACAGACCUCUGUUUUCUUCGAUUCCCAUGUACUUAAAGGUUUCAUCAU